rnacentral:rRNA from 1 species
GACGUAGGGGGCGAGCGUUGUCCGGAUUUAUUGGGCGUAAAGCGCACGUAGGCGGCCUGAUAAGUCCUGUGUGAAAGCCCCCGGCUCAACCGGGGAAUUGCACCGGAUACUGUCGGGCUAGAGUACAGGAGGGGAGAGCGGAAUUCCUAGUGUAGAGGUGAAAUUCGUAGAUAUUAGGAAGAACACCAGUGGCGAAGGCGGCCAACUGGACCACAACUGACGCUGAGGCGCGAAAGCGUGGGGAGCAAACAGG